UCGGAUUGAGUUCAAAACUUGGGGAACAUCAUAAUAUUGUGGGAGGAGUCAUUUGGUGGGUUUUGAGUGAAAUCCAAUCUCUAGAACUAUACAAUACACCAACCACUCCAUCUGAGAACGAACUUCGUACGAACCUGAAUUGUCCAAUUUAAUGGACCUAUUGAUAUCGGAUUGGGUCCAAAACUUGGGGAUCAUCAUAAUGUUGUGGGAGGAGUCAUUUUGUGAUUUUUGAGUGAAUUCUAGUGGCUAAAACAAUACGAUACACCAACCACUCAAUUUUAGAACGAACUUCGUACGAACCUGAAUUGUCCGAUUUCAUGGUUCAAUUGAUAUCGGAUUGAGUCCAAAACUUUGUGUACAACAUAAUAUUGUGGGAGGAGUCAUUUGGUGGGUUUUUAGUGAAAUUCAACCUCUAGAACUAUAUAAUACACCAACCACUCCAUUUUAGAACGAACUUCGUACGAUCCUGAAUGGUCCAAUUUCAUGGACCAAUUGAUAUCGGAUUGAGUCCAAAACAUGGAGAUCAUCAUAAUGUUGUGGGAGGAGUCAUAUGGUGGGUUUUGAGUGAAAUCAAAUCUCUGGAACUAUACAAUACACCAACCACUCUAUUUCAAAACGAACAUCAUAUGAACCUGAAUUGUCCAAUUUCAUAGACCAAUCGAUAUCGGAUUGAGUCGAAAACUUAUGGAACAUCAUAAUAUGGUGGGAGGAGUCAUUUGUUGAGUUUUGAGUGAAAUCAUAUGCCUAAAACUGUGCAAUACACCAACCACUCUAUUUGAUAACGAACAUCGUACGAACCUGAAAUUGGCCAAUUUCCUGGACCAAUCGAUAUCGGAUUGUAUCCAAAACUUGGGGAACAUCAUAAUGUAGUGGGAGGUGGGUUUUUAGUGAAAUCCAAUCUCUAGACUAUGCAAUACACCAACCACUCCAUUUUAGAACGAACUUCGUACGAACCUGAAUUGUCUGAUUUCAUGGUCCAAUCGAUAUCGGAUUGAGUCCAAAUCUUGGGGAACGUCAUAAUAGUGUGGGAGGAGUGAUUUGGUGGGUUUUGAGUGAAACCCAACCUCUAGAACUAUAUAAUACACCAACCACUCCAUUUCAGAAGGAACUUCGUACGAACCUGAAUUGUCCAAUUUCAUGGACCAAUCGAUAUCGGAUUGAGUCUGAAACUUGGGGAACAUCAUAAUGUUCUAGGAGGAGUCAUUUGGUGGGUUUUGAGCGAAACACAAUGGCUAAAAUAAUGCAAUACACAAACCACUCUAUUUCAAAACAAACUUCGUACAAACCUGAAUCGUUCGAUUUCUGGGACCAACGAUAUCGGAUUGAUUCCAAAACUUGGUGAACGUCAUAAAAUUGUGGGAGGAGUCAUUUGUUGGGUUUUGAGUGAAAUCCAAUCUCUAGAACUGUGCAAUACACCAACAACUCCAUUUCAGAACGAACUUCGUACGAACAUGAAUUAUCCAAUUUUAUGGACCAAUCGAUAUAUGAUUGAGUCCAAAACUUGUGGAACAACAUAAUAUGGUGGGAGGAGUCAUUUGGUGGGUUUUGAGUGAAAUCCAAAAGCUAAAACUAUGCAAUACACCGACCACUCCAUUUCAUAACGAAUUUCGUACGAACCUGAAUUGUCCAAUUUCAUGGACCAAUUGAUAUCGGAUUGAGUCCAGAACUUGAGGAACAUCAUAAUAUAGUGGGAGGAGUCAUUUGGUGGGUUUUCAGUGAAAUCCAAUCUCUAGAACUACAUAACACACCAACUACUCCAUUUCAGAAUGAACUUCGUACGAACAAGAAUUUUCCAAUUUCAUGGACCAAUCGAUAUCGGAUUGAGUCCAAAACUUAGGGAACAUCAUAAUAUGGUGGGAGGAGUCAUUUGGUGAGUUUUGAGUGAAAUCCAGAAGCUAAAACAAUGCAAUACACCAACCACUCCAUUUCAUAAUGAAUUUCGUACGAACCUGAAUUGUCCAAUUUCGUGGAACAAUCGAUAUCAGAUUCAGUCCAAAAGUUAGGGAACAUCAUAAUGUGGUGGGAGGAGUCAUUUCUUCAGUCGAGUGAAAUCUAAUGGCUAAAACUAUGCAAUACACCAACCACUCCAUUUCAGAACGAACUUCGUACGAACCUGAAUUGUCCAAUUCCAAGGACCAAUCGAUAUCGGAUUGAGCCCAAAACUUCUGGGACAUCAUAAUAUGGUGGGAGGAGUCAUUUGGUGAGUUUCGACUGAACUCCAAUGGCGAAAACUAUGCAUUACACCAAACACUCCAUUUCAUAACGAACUUCGUACGAACCUUAAUUGUUCGAUUUCAUGAACCAAUCGAUGUCAGCUUUAGUCCAAAGUAAGGGGAACAUCAUAAUGCGGUGGGAGGAGUCAUUUGGUGGGUUUUCAGUGAAAUCCAAUCUCUAGAACUAUGCAAUACACUAACCACUCCAUUUCAAAACAAACUUUGCACGAACCUGUAUUAUCCAAUUUCAUGGACCAGUUGAUAUCGGAUUGAGUCCAAAACUUAGGGAACAUCACAAUGUGGUGGGAGGACUCAUUUGGUGAGUUUUGAGUGAAAUCCAAUGGCCGAAACUAUGCAAUACACGAACUACUCCAUUUCAAAACGAACGUCAUAUGAACCUGAAUUGUCCGAUUUCAUGGACCAAUCGAUAUCGGAUUGAGUCCAAAACUUAGGGAACAUCAUAAUAUGGUAGGAGGAGUAAUUGGCAAGUUUUGAGAGAAAUCCAAUCGCUAAAACAAUGCAAUACACCAACCACUCCAGUUGAGAAUGAACUUCGUAUGAACCUGAAUUGUCCGAUUUCUUGGUUCAAUCGAUAUCGGAUUGAGCCCAAAACUUGGUCAACAUCAUAAUAUCGUGGGAGGAGUCAUUUGUUGAGUUUUGAGUGAAAUCCAAUAGCUAAAACUAUUCAAUACACCAACCAUCCAUUUCAGAACGAAGUAUGUACGAACCUGAAUUGUUCGAUUUCAAGGACCAAUCGAUAUCAGAUUGAGUCCAAAACUUGGGGAACAACGUAAUGUUGGGGGAGGAGUCAUGUGGCGAGUUUUGAGUGAAAUCCAAUUUCCAAAACUAUGCAAUACACCAACCACUCGAUUUCAAAACGAACUUCAUACGAACCAGAAUUGCUCGAUUUCAUGGUCCAAUCGAUUCGGAUUGAAUCCAAAACUUGGGGAACAUCAAAAUGCUGUGGGUGGAGUCAUUUGGUGAGUUUUGUGUGAAAUCCAUUCUCUAUAACUAUACAAUACAUCAACCACUCCUUUUCAUAACGAACUUCGUACGAACCUGAAUUGUCCGAUUUCAUGGACCAAUCGAUAUCGGAUUGAGUCCAAAACUUGGGGAACAUCAUAAUAUGGUGGGAGGAGUCAUUUGGUGAGCUUUGAGUGAAAGCCAAUGACUAAAACUAUGCAAUACACCAACCAGUACAUUUCAUAACAAACUUCGUGCGAACCUGAAUUGUUCAAUUUCAUGGACCAAUCGAUAUAGGAUUGAGCCCAAAACUUAGGGAACAUCAUAAUAUGGUAGGAGGAGUCAUUUCGUGAGUUUUAAGAAAAAUGCACUGGCUAAAACUAUGCAAUACACCAACCACUCAAUUUCAGAACGAACUUCGUACGAACUUGAAUUGUUCGAUUUCAUGGACCAAUUGAUAUCGGAUUGAGUCCAAAACUUGGGGAUCAUCAUAAUAUUGUGGGAGGAGUCAUUUGGUGAUUUUUGAGUUAAAUCCAGUCUCUAGAACUAUAAAAUACCCCAACCACUCCAUUUCUGAAUGAUAACUCAUAUAUUUAUACAUUUAUACCAUCCAUUUCUAGUAUAUUUGUGAUGCUUUUGAGUUAAACUUGUUGCGUUUUAUCCUAUUUUGUGUUAGUAUGCAGUUGAAUAUAUUUUAGGAUCAAGUUGAAGGCAAAAGAUGAAAACAUGCCAUUUUUGGAGCUGACCCAUAUUCAAACGUGGAAACAAGUUUCGUGACCUGUUUUGAAGUCCAAAUAAAGAAUCCAAGGCGAACCUGGCUUGUUUGAAGACUAAGAGCAGAAUGGAAAAGAAAUGGGGAUUUCUAGCCUGAUUUGGAGGUGCCAAAUAAGGCAAAAACGUGCAAAAUAAAGGCUGAUUCUUUAGGAUAUCUUUGGAACAUCUGGCAGCCUUGUUUACCCCAUAAAAACUUGCCUUUUAGCCACUUUUAAAACCCCUAUUUAUUUUGGACGAAUUUCACAACCCUAGAUCUGACUUCUUGGUUAUUCUCUCCUCUCAUGCACACUAAAACCCUAGCCGUCCAUAUAUUUCCACCAUCAGGACUCAGCGCAAGAGGGGUUCUUGGAGAAGUUCAACAUCAGAAUUGGUUCAAGGGUUUCCUCUCAUGAAUUUAUUUUCACUCAUGUUGUUUAUUUUUGUUUUAACCUCUGUGAACAUGAUGUGUAACUAAAUUCAUAGCUAGGGAUUUCGAUGUAGCCUUGCAACAUUGAUCCAUGUUUCUAAGUUAAAGUAUUCAAUUCAUCAAUCUGCUUCUUGUUUCAUUCACUGAAUUUAUUGUUCAAUUUGUUUGUCAAUUUUAAUGUUUGAUCACCAUUAGGGUUGCCUACAGAUUAUCUGGACAAGGUUAUAGUAAACUUCAUGCUUAAUCUUUGUAGACUUGUGAAUGAAUGAAGAGAAUGCUAUGCAAACAUCAUGCCGUGUGUUCUCUUUGGUUCUUUAAUGUUUUCUUGCAUGCUAAUGACUCUUAACUUGGAACCAAAGUUGAACAUCCCAACUAGGUUGCAGAUUAGGAGAAUUUGAUCAAAACCACACAUCAUAUGGCUGAUCAUAUAUAUGUGAAACGAACUCUGGAAACAGGUUGGUAGUUGAGUACGGUUUAAUUUUAUAAACAUGGAAUUAGUUUUGCAAUGGUGAAUUCGAAAUCCCUAGUCUCAUCCCUAUUCUUCUACAUCAAUAUAUUAUUCACUACUACAUUCUUCUUGCAUUUUAAGUUAUUUUUCAUUUACAACACAAAAACUACUUCCAAAUUGUCACUUUCAUUUUUAUCUAGGGUUCUUUCAAAACUAGUAAUUUAUAGAGGUCCAAUCGGUCCCUGUGGUUCGACACCCUUACUUGUACCAUUAUACUAACCAUAUAUUGGCACUUGGAAGGAACACAACACUGAACGAACUUCGUACGAACCUGAAUUGUUCGAUUUCAUGGACCAAUCAAUAUCUGAGUGAGUCCAAAACUUGGGGGACAUCAUAAUGUUGUGGGAGGAGUCAUUUGGUGGGUUUUGAGUGAAAUCCAUUCUCUAGAACUAUACAAUACACCAACCACUCCAUUUCAUAACGAACUUGUACGAACCUGAUUUGUCCGAUAUCAUGUACCAAUCGAUAUCAGAUUCAGUCCAAAACUUGGGGAACAUCAUAAUAUUGUGGGAGGAGUCAUUUGGUGGUUUUUGAGUUAAAUCCAUUCUCUAGAACUAUAAAAUACCCCAACCACUUCAUUUCAGAAUGAACUUCGUACGAACCUGAAUUGUUCGAUUUCAUGGACCAAUCGAUAUCGGAUUGAGUCCAAAACUUGGGGAACAGCAUAAUGUUGUGGGAGGAGUGAUUUGGUGGGUUUUGAGUGAAAUCCAAUGUCUAGAACUAUAGAAUACCCCAACCACUCCAUUUCAGAAUGAACUUCGUACGAACUUGAAUUGUCCGAUGUCAUGGACCAAUCGAUGUCGGAUUCAGUCCAAAAAUUGGGGAAUAUCAUAACAUUGUGGGAGUAGGCAUUUGGUGGGUUUUGAGUGAAAUCCAAUCCCUAGAACUAUACAAUACACCAACCACUCCAUUUCAGAACGAACUUCGCACAUACCUGAAUUCUCCAAUUUGAUGGACGAAUCAAUAUUGGAUUGAAUCCAAAACUCGGAGAACAUUGUAAUAUAGUGGGAGGAGUCAUUUGGUGGGUUUCGAUUUAAAUCCAAUCUCCAGAAGUAUGCAAUACAGCAACCACUCCAUUUUAGAACGAACUUCGUACGAACCUGAAUUGUCCGAUUUCAUGGACCAAUCAACAUCGGAUUGUGUCCAAAACUGGGUAACAUCAUAAUAUGGUGAAAGGAGUCAUUUGGUGAGUUUUGAGUGAAAUCCAAUCGCUCGAACUAUGCAAUACACCAACCACUCAAUUUCAUAACGAACUUCGUACGAACCUGAAUUGUCCGAUGUCAUGGACCAAUCAUUAUCGGAUUGAGUCCAAAACCUGGGGAACAUCGUAAUAUUGUGGGAGCAGUCAUUUGGUGGGUUUUGAAUGAAAUUCAAUCUCCAGAACUAUGCAAUACAGGAACCACUCCAUUUCAUAACGAACUUCGUACGAACCUGAAUUGUCCGAUUUCAUGGACCAAUCAAUAUCGGAUUGAGUCCAAAACUUGGGAUACAUCAUAAUAUGGUGGGAGGAGUCAUUUGGUGACUUUUUAGUGAAAUGCAAUGGCUAAAACUAUGCAAUACACCAACAACUCCAUUUCAUCACGAACUUCGUAUGAACCUGAAUUGUCCAAUUUCAUGGACCAAUCGAUAUCGGAUUGAGUCCCAAACUUGGGGAACAUCAUAAUAUAGUGGACGGAGUGAUAUGGUGAGUUUUGAGCGAAAUCCAAUGUCUAAAACUAUGCAAUACACCAACUACUCCAUUUUAGAACGAACUUCGUACGAACCUGAAUUGCCCGAUUUCUUCGACCAAUCGAUAUCGGAUUGAGUCCAAAACUUGGGGAACAUCAUAAUAUAGUGGACGGAGUGAUAUCGUGAGUUUUGAGCGAAAUUCAAUCUCCAGAACUAUGCAAUACAGGAACCACUCCAUUUCAUAACGAACUUCGUACGAACCUGAAUUGUCCGAUUUCAUGGACCAAUCGAUAUCGGAUUGAGUCCAAAACCAGGGGAACAUCAUAAUAUUGUGGGAGUAGUCAUUUGGUGGGUUUUGAGUGAAAUCCAAUCCCUAGAACUAUACAGUACACCAACCACUCCAUUUCAGAACGUACUUCGUACGUACCUGAAUUGUCCAAUUUCAUGGACCAAUUCAUAUCGGAUUGAAUCCAAAACUCGGAGAACACCGUAAUUAGUGGGAGGAGUCAUUUGGUAGGUUUUGAGUGAAAUUCAAUCUCCAGAACUAUGCAAUACAGGAACCACUCCAUUUCAUAACGAACUUCGUACGAACCUGAAUUGUCCGAUUUCAUGGACCAAUUGAUAUCGGAUUGAGUCCAAAACUUGGGGAACAUCAUAAUAUAGUGGGAGGACUCCUUCGGUGAGUUUUAACUAAAAUCCAAUAGCAAAAACUAUGAAAUACACCAACCAUGAAUAGUCCAAUUUCUUGGACCAAUCGAUAUUGGAUUGAGUCCAAAACUUGGGGAACACCAAAAUAUGGUGGGAGGAGUAAUUUGGUGAGUUUUGAGCGAAAUCCAAUGGCUAAAACUGUGCAAUACACCAACCACUCCAUUUUAUAACUAACUUCGUGCGAACCUAAAUUUUCCAAUUUCAUAGACCAAUCGAUAUCGGAUUGAGUCCAAAACCUGGGGAACAUCACAAUGUUGUGGGAGGAGUCAUUUGGUGAGUUUGGAGUGAAAUCCAAUUUCCAAAACUAUGCAAUACAUCAACCACUCCAUUUCAGAACGAGCUUCGUACGAACCUGAAUUGUCCGAUUUCAUGGACCAAUCGAUAUCGAAUUGAGUCCAAAACUUGGGGAACAUCAUAAUAUGGUGGGAGGAGUCAUUUUGUGAGUUUGAGAGAAAUCCAAUGUCCUAAAACUAUGCAAUACACCAACCACUCCAUUUCAGAACAAACUUCGUACGAAGGUGAAUUGUCCGAUUUCAGGGACCUAUCGAUAUCGGAUUGAGUCCAAAACUUCGGGAACAUCAUAAUAUGGUGGGAGGAGUCAUUUGGUGAGUUUGGAGUGAAAUCCAAUUUCCAAAACUAUGCAAUACACCAACCACUCCAUUUCAGAACAAACUUCUUACGAACCUGAAUUUUCCGAUUUCAUGGACCAAUCGAUAUCGGAUUGAGUCCAAAACUUGGGGAACAUCAUUAUAUGGUGGGAAGAGUCAUUUGGUGAGUUUUGAGUGAAAUCCAAUGGCUAAAACUAUGCAAUACAUCAACCACUCCAUUUUAUAACUAACUUCGUACGAACCUGAAUUGUCCAAUUUUGUGGACCAAUCGAUAUCGGAUUGGGUUCAAAACCUAGGGAACAUCAUAAUAUGGUGGGAGGAGUCAUUUGGUGAGUUUUGAGCAAAAUCCAAUUGCCAAAACUAUACAAUACACCAACCAUUCCAUUUUAGAAUGAACUUCGUUCGAAACUGAAUUGUCCAAUUUCAUGGACCAAUUGACAUCGAUUGAGUCCAAAACUUGGGGAACAUGAUAAUGUUGUGAGAGGAGUCAUUUGGUGAUUCUGGGUGAAAUCCGAUCCCUCGAACUAUAUAAUACACCAACCACUCCAUUUUAGAACGAACUUCAUAUGAACUUAAAUUGUCCAACUUCAUGGACCAAUCGAUAUCGGAUUGAGUGCAAAACUUGGGGAACAUCGUAAUGUUGGGGGAGGAGUCAUUUUGUGAGUUUUGAGUGAAAUCCAAUCCCUAGAACUAUACAAUACACCAACCACUCCAUUUCAGAAUGAACUUCGAACGACACAUAAUUAUCCAAUUUCAUGGACCAAUCGAUAUCGAAUUAAGUCUAAAACUUGGGGAACAUCAUAAUAUGGUGGGAGGAGCCAUUUGGUGUGUUUUGAGUGAAAUCCAAUGGCUAAAACUAUGCAAUACACCAACCACUCCAUUUUAUAACAAACUUCGUACGAACCUGAAUUGUCCAAUUUCACGAACCAGUCGAUAUCGGAUUGAGUCCAAAACAUGGGGAACACCAUAAUAUAGUGGGAGAAGUCAUUUGGUGGGUUUUUAGCGAAAUCCAAUUGCCAAAACUAUGAAAUACACUAACCACUCCAAUAGAGAACGAACAUCGUACGAACAUGAAUAGUCCACUUUCUUGGACCAAUCGGUAUUGGAUUGAGCCCAAAACGUGGGGAACAUCAUAGUAUGGUGGGAGGAGUCAUAUGGUGAGUUUUGAGCGAAAUCCAAUGGCUAAAACUAUGCAAUACACCAACCACUCUUUUUCAUAACGAACUUUGAACGAACCUGAAUUGAACAAUUUCAUGUUCCAAUCGAUGUCGGAUUGAGUCCAAAACUUGGAGAACAUCAUAAUACGGUGGGCGGUAUCAUUUUGUGGUUUUUGAGUAAAGUACAAUCUCUAGAACUGGGCAAUACGCCAACCACUCCAUUUCAUAACGAACUUUGUACGAAACUGAAUUAUCCGAUUUCAAGGACCAAUCGAUAUCGGAUUGAGUCCAAAACUUGGGGAACAUCAUCAUAUGGUGGGAGGAUUCAUUUGGAGAGUUAUGAGUGAAUUCCAAUGGCUAAAACUAUGCAAUACACCGACCACUCCAUUUCAUCACGAACUUCGUACGAGCCUGAAUUGUCCAAUUUCAUGGACCAAUCGAUAUCGGACUGAGUCCAAAACUUGGGGAACAUCAUAAUAUGGUGGGAGGAGUCAUUUGGUGGGUUUUGAGUGAAAUCCAAUCUGUAGAACUAUGCAAUACACCAACCACUCCAUUUCAGAACGAACUUCGUACGAACCUGAAUUGUCCGAUUUCAUGGACCAAUCGAUAUCGGAUUGAGUCCAAAACUUGGGGAACAUCAUAAUAUGGUGG
rnacentral:lncRNA from 1 species